rnacentral:rRNA from 1 species
GCAAGUCGAACGGCAGCACAGGAUGGCUCGCUAUCCGGGUGGCGAGUGGCGGACGGGUGAGUAACGCGUAGGAAUCUACCUUUUCGUGGGGGAUAACCCGGGGAAACUCGGGCUAAUACCGCAUACGCCCUACGGGGGAAAGCGGGGGACCUUCGGGCCUCGCGCGGAAUGAUGAGCCUGCGUCCUAUCAGGUAGUUGGUGAGGUAAUGGCUCACCAAGCCGACGACGGGUAGCUGGUCUGAGAGGACGACCAGCCACACUGGGACUGAGACACGGCCCAGACUCCUACGGGAGGCAGCAGUGGGGAAUAUUGGACAAUGGGGGAAACCCUGAUCCAGCAAUACCGCGUGUGUGAAGAAGGCCUUCGGGUUGUAAAGCACUUUUAGCAGGAAAGAAAGGCCGUGCGCUAAUACCGCAUGGUUCUGACGUUACUUGCAGAAAAAGCACCGGCUAACUCCGUGCCAGCAGCCGCGGUAAUACGGAGGGCGCAAGCGUUAAUCGGAAUUACUGGGCGUAAAGCGCGCGUAGGCGGCUUGUUAAGUCGGAUGUGAAAUCCCCGGGCUCAACCUGGGAACUGCAUUCGAUACUGGCUGGCUAGAGUGUGGUAGAGGGAAGUGGAAUUCCAGGUGUAGCGGUGAAAUGCGUAGAUAUCUGGGGGAACAUCAGUGGC